UCUCUUUAUUUUUAUAUACAUCAAAUAGCUGGCGUUAAAUAUUGUUAUAAUAACCUGCGUUAAAUGGUAAUUGAAAAGUAGUGAUUUUUUUAGAAUAUGAAUUAUACGGUACUUUUCAGCAAUGUCUCUAUUGCCUGAUGCGGGUAAAAGGGAGGGGCAAACGAGGAUAUUGCUUUUUCUGGUGUUUAAAUCAUCUUUGAAAUAGCAAACGUAUUCUGUCGUAUCUGUAUUUUGCAUGGUAUAUGAAACCCAUAUCUUUCUCAUGUCAUAUUUAUAUUACAUAACUUGUAGAAACCGGCCAUUACUCUGAUGUAGAUAAGCCCGAUGGAACAAAUAAUGUACAGAUUACAAUGUCCGACCACAUAUGUGCAAAGCUCAAAACGUACGAUGAAGAAUCACACAUGACAAACAGUCAGAAUUUUCCAAUAGAAAGAGAAAAGAAAGAAGAAGAAAACAGACGGACAGACCAGGCAAGUUUAUGAGUUAUGUUACGAGUCAAAACUCCAAUUGCCACCUGAACAGAUCCUAUGUGAUGAAAUUCAGGAUGUAAUGACACUUAAGUAAAGUUUUUAUAUAAUUUAUGUAUAUAAUUGUGCUUCUAAAACAAUUUUCAAACAUUGAAGAAAAUGUACAAUAUUAACUGCAAAUAUUUGUUCACAUUAUAUGUAACCAUUAAAAUAUAUGCAUUAAUUUCUUACUGAAAAAUUUGACUCAGACCUUAAAGAAAAUAAUUAUGUUUAUAAUAACCUCCCUUUAUUAACAUAAAAUUCAGUAAUAUCGUUACAAAAAAUACUUUUUGGAACUUACAAUAAUAAUAAUUCUUUAUUUGAGCAUUAUAUUUAUGAUAUAAAACCAUAAAAAAUUGAGUUACAGGAUCUUUAACGUAUUUUGUAGUUACGCUGUGUCGUACAAUUAUUUGCCGCCGUUUCAAUAUACAGAUGUAGUGAUAUAUGAGAUCAGUUAUUGUUGUCAUGUUGAUUAUUAUUAACUUAACUGUGUAAUUUUCAAAAAAGUGAAAAUAGAAAAUGAUAAAAAAGAAAGAAAGAAAAAAAGGACGAAAACUGCAUUUAAUUUUUUCCUAUCUGUUUAAUAGUAUUAUAACUGUUUUUAAACUAUCAUUAUUAUAUGAAUGCAAAUAAACAUCAAUCGUGAUUUUUUAGCUCACCUGUCACAAAGUGACAGGGUGAGCUUUUGUGAUCGCUUUUCGUCCGGCGUCCGUCCGUCGUCCGUCCGUCGUCCGUAAACUUUUACUUUAAAUGAUAUCUCCUCAUAAACCACUAAGCCAAUUUCAUCCAAACUUCACAGGAAUGUUCCUUUGGUGGUCACCUUUAAAAAUUGUUCAAAGAAUUUACUUCCAUGCAGAACUCUGGUUGCCAUGGCAACCGAAAGAAAAAACUUAAAAUAUCUUCUUUUAAAAAACCCAAAGAGCUAAGAUAUUUAACAUGAAACAUGUUCUAAUGAGUGUCUACCAAGUUUGUUCAAAUAAAAGCCCUGGGGUCAAAAUUGGCCCUGCCCCAGGGGGUCAUUGAUUUUCCCUAUAUGCAUAUAGUAAAAACUUAAAAAAUCAUCUUUUAAAGAACUCAAAGAGCUAGAGCUAAGAUAUUUAGCAUCAAACAUGUUCUAACAGGUGUCUACCAAGUUUGUUCAAAUAAAAGCCCUGGGGUCAAAAUUGGCCCCGCCCCAGGGGUGUCAUUGUUUUUAACUAUAUGUGUAUAGUAAAAACUUAAAAAAAAUCUUCUUUUAAAAAGCCCAAUGAGCUAGAGCUUAGAUGUUUAGCAUGAAACAUCUUCUUAUGGGUGUGUGUGUG